UGCGGGAUCGGGGCCGUGCGGGAUCGGGCCGUGCGGGAUCGGGCUGUGCCGGGCCGUGCGGGGCUGGGCCGUGCGGGGCUGGGCUGUGCCGGGCAGGACCCGCAGCCGGAGCGCUCCCUGUGCCAGGCGCUGCUCCCAUCGCCCGCUGCCCUGCGGGCUCCGUGAUGUGCCCGCAGCAGAGCUCCCCCAGUCCGUGACCAGGUUUGACGGUGCACAGGUGUGAGCCAGGAAGAGGUGUGUCCCGGCAGAGCAGCUCUGGGACAGUUUGCUGUCCUGAACCAGUGUACUACACCCAGACACUCCUGCCCGCUCCAGGGUCUGCGAUCGUUCCUGCAGCUCCGGCGCUGCCCUGGGCUCCCCGCAGCAGCCAGGCACCGCUGAAUCCUGCAGCAUCCUUUUCCCCUGCUGCAGCCCCGAGCAGAACGGCAGCGCUGGGGGAGCCACCAGCACCGGCAGGGAGAGGUCUCUGAGCCCUUGGACUUUAUUUCUCUGAGCCAGAGAGGAAACUUAACUUAAAAGUCUAAAAACUCAAAUGUGCCCGAGAGUUGUCCUCUCCCAGUGUAGGCGUGAUGUAGAGCCAUGGAAAACCAAAGCCUCAGGCAUUUUAUGCUGUCUUCUAAUUCAAGGAACUUUGAUUUUACUUUUCUACUCAGCAAAACUAAUCCUCCUCACUGUAAUUAAUAUGCUGCUCAAAUGGAUUCUUAAUUACAGAUAAAUCACAAAUCUACACACUCAACUGUUUUGCUUUUCAAGUAAUAAAACAGAUCAUUUGUCUUCCUCAGAUGAACAGAGCCCAACCAGCACACCAUUUCCCCCUUUAUGAAGAAUUCAUUUGCCUUAGAAAGAAGGUCUUUAAAAAAACAUUGCAAGGAUUUCUUGAAUAGGGGAUCAAAGCUCCCACACUGCUGGAAACCAUUUUUCGCUAAACAAGAUGCCAGCAGAUGCGAGCCUGGCUGGAUUUCUGCAGGAGCCCACGGCUGCAGGGACUCAGACCUGGCUGUGCACGUGGUGGGAUAAAUGCACUCACCUGGGCUGCUUUGCCAUCUGAUGGGAUUUUAUUUCAGCUCCCUGCCUAGGCACAGCCCAGUGACAGCCCAGUGGCACAUCUCACCUGGGCUGCCCUGCACCAGCCCGGAUCCUGGAUCCCUGGAGGCGUGGGGCUGUGUCAGGGACAGGAGGGCACCUGGCCCUUCCCCACCCACCUGUACCUGUAUCCUUGCUGUGCUCCUGCAAGGAUAGCAGUGACACCAGGGGCUCUGCCCACAUCCCAUGGGCAUGCUGCCAGCAGCUCCAGCAGAGCAGGCAGCACUUUGCUCCCCUGCCAUGGCUGUCCCCAGCCCUGGUGUCCCCAGCCAGGCCAGGGGGCUCAGGGAGCUGUUGGCCCCCGUGGCUGCCCCUUGGCCUGGCACAGGAGGAUGUUUCCUCCUUGUCAUGGUGCAGCUGGAGUGGGAACCCCCUGUGAGCAGGCUCUGUGCUCUCCUCGCAGGGACAGGGAACAAAGCCAGGUGUCCUGUGCCUUGUGGGGCUUCUGCUGCUGGCACCUGAGGGAGGCCCUUGUCUGCAAGGCUUUAGGCACCGUGCUCAGAGCAGGAGAGUGAUGAGAGCCACAGGAGCUGCAGAGGGUGGUCAGGGCUCUCAGAAUCACAGAAUCGCUGGGUUGGAAGAGACCUUAAAGACCACUGAGUCCAACCCAGCCCCAACAGCUCAGCUAAACCCUGGCACCCAGUGCCACAUCCAGGCUUUGUUAAACAUCCCCAGGGAUGGGGACUGCACCAUUUCCCCGGGCAGAACAUUCCAGAGCUUUGUCACCCUUUCUGUAAAACAUUCUCCCUAAACAGAACAGGAAGAGGCUCCCCAGGGAAUGGCAGCCAGAGCUCCCAGGGGUGCACAGGGUGGCAUUGUUGGGGUGUCUGGAUGGUCCCUGUGGGUCCAGCUCAGGAUGUUCCACGGUCCCUCGCUCCUGGCAUAGGGCUCUCUGCCCUGGGAAGCUCCUCACCCUGACACAGAGGGAUUUCCCAGCUGACCCAUGGGGAGAAUAUUCCGUUUCCUCACUCUUGGAUCUGCCAGCAGCAUCCCUUGGUGAGUGAUGGAUACUGGAGAUGAUUUAUGGUUCUUUGUUACACAAAUGCCUCCACAUUCUUCCCCAUCCUCCCGCAGCAACCAGCAGAGAGCAGGAGCCUCAGCCUGGGAACUGCACCCAGGACGCAGAGCUGGGUCUUUAUUCACUGUAAAUGCACUGCUGGGGACACAAGAAAGGGAAAUGUCAUCGCUGUGGGGCUCUGCACCCAGGGCCCAGGGUCUGCUUCCACCUGUGUGCUGGGAAGUUAAAAGUCUGGCAAAGAAAAAGUGCUAUAAAUCAGGCAGAGAAGGACGGAGGGGAGGGUCAGGUUUACCCAAUUUUUCAUCUCAAAGUUUGUUAUUAAAGUAGUGAAUGUUCCAGGAGGAACAGCCAUGGACUGUAUGUCUUAGAGCUCUUGGAUUUCAGCAACAUAAACCUUUAGCCCUCGAGACUUUUAUUGCAUUAAAUAAUUUCUGUUGCUGCUAAUUAAA